rnacentral:rRNA from 1 species
CCUACGGGAGGCAGCAGUGGGGAAUAUUGCACAAUGGGGGAAACCCUGAUGCAGCGACGCCGCGUGAGUGAAGAAGUAUCUCGGUAUGUAAAGCUCUAUCAGCAGGGAAGAAAAUGACGGUACCUGACUAAGAAGCCCCGGCUAACUACGUGCCAGCAGCCGCGGCAAUACGCAGGGGGCAAGCGUUAUCCGGAUUUACUGGGUGUAAAGGGAGCGUAGACGGGGCUGCAAGUCCGGAGUGAAAGCGCAUGGCUUAACCGUGUGAUUGCUUUGGAAACUGUAGAGCUUGAGUUCGGGAGGGGCAGGCGGAAUUCGUAGUGUAGCGGUGAAAUGCGUAGAUAUUAGGAGGAACACCGGCGGCGAAGGCGGCCUGCUGGACCGUAACUGACGUUGAGGCUCGAAAGCGUGGGGAGCAAACAGGAUUAGAUACCCGGGUAGUC